rnacentral:rRNA from 1 species
GACGAACGCUGGCGGCGUGCCUAAUACAUGCAAGUCGAGCGAACACAAGAGGAGCUUGCUCCUCUUGGUUAGCGGCGGACGGGUGAGUAACACGUGGGCAACCUGCCUGUAAGACUGGGAUAACUUCGGGAAACCGGAGCUAAUACCGGAUAAUCCUUUUCCUCUCAUGAGGAAAAGCUGAAAGUCGGUUUACGCUGACACUUACAGAUGGGCCCGCGGCGCAUUAGCUAGUUGGUGAGGUAACGGCUCACCAAGGCGACGAUGCGUAGCCGACCUGAGAGGGUGAUCGGCCACACUGGGACUGAGACACGGCCCAGACUCCUACGGGAGGCAGCAGUAGGGAAUCUUCCGCAAUGGACGAAAGUCUGACGGAGCAACGCCGCGUGAGCGAUGAAGGCCUUCGGGUCGUAAAGCUCUGUUGUUAGGGAAGAACAAGUAUCGGAGUAACUGCCGGUACCUUGACGGUACCCAACCAGAAAGCCACGGCUAACUACGUGCCAGCCGCCGCUGUAACAC